AGUGAACGCUGGCGGUAGGCCUAACACAUGCAAGUCGAACGGCAGCACAGUAAGAGCUUGCUCUUACGGGUGGCGAGUGGCGGACGGGUGAGGAAUACAUCGGAAUCUACUUUUUCGUGGGGGAUCACGUAGGGAAACUUACGCUAAUACCGCAUACGACCUACGGGUGAAAGCAGGGGCUCUUCGGACCUUGCGCGAUUGAAUGAGCCGAUGUCGGAUUAGCUAGUUGGCGGGGUAAAGGCCCACCGAGGCGACGCUCCGUAGCUGGUCUGAGAGGAUGAUCAGCCACACUGGAACUGAGACACGGUCCAGACUCCUACGGGAGGCAGCAGUGGGGAAUAUUGGACAAUGGGCGCAAGCCUGAUCCAGCCAUACCGCGUGGGUGAAGAAGGCCUUCGGGUUGUAAAGCCCUUUUGUUGGGAAAGAAAAGCAGCAGGUUAAUACCCCGCUGUUCUGACGGUACCCAAAGAAUAAGCACCGGCUAACUUCGUG
rnacentral:rRNA from 1 species